UCCUGGCUCAGGAUGAACGCUAGCGGCAGGCCUAAUACAUGCAAGUCGCACGGGAGGUCCCCCUCGGGGGGCCGAGAGUGGCGCACGGGUGCGUAACGCGUAUGCAACCAACCCCUUCCCGGGGGACAGCCGGUGGAAACGCCGGGUAAUACCCCAUGGCGACCAUAGGGGACAUCCCCUUUGGUUGAAAGGCGCGAGCCGGGGAGGGACGGGCAUGCGUCCCAUUAGCUAGUUGGCGGGGUGACGGCCCACCAAGGCGACGAUGGGUAGGGGAUCUGAGAGGACGGUCCCCCACACUGGUACUGAGACACGGACCAGACUCCUACGGGAGGCAGCAGUAAGGAAUAUUGGGCAAUGGGGGGAACCCUGACCCAGCCAUGCCCGCGUGAGGGAAUGAGGCCCUACGGGUCGUGAACCUCUUUUGUCGGGAGACAAUGGCGCCGUCGGGAACGGCGUUUGCGGGUACCCGGCGAAUAAGCAUCGGCUAACUCCGUGCCAGCCGCAGC
rnacentral:rRNA from 1 species